GCUGGGAUUGUGACUCAGGGGUAGAGCACUCACCUAGCACGGGCAAGGCCCUGGGUUUGAUUCUCAGCACAGCA
rnacentral:tRNA from 1 species